CCCUUCCCUUUCAUGAAAUAUGACCUACCGAAUUAGACUAUUUACCGGAUUUGUAAUCACAUAAGCAACACGACGGGUGCCACAUGUGGAGCAGGAUCUGCUUACCCUUCCGGAGCACCUGAGAUCACCCCUAGUUUUUGGUGGGGUUCGUGUUGUUUAUUCUUUAGUUUUCUAUGUUGUGUCGUGUGUACUAUUGUUUUUCUGUUUGUCUUUUUCAUUUUUAGCCAUGGAGUUGUCAGUUUGUUUUAGAUUUAUGAGUUUGACUGUCCCUUUUGUAUCUUUCGUCCCUCUUUUA
rnacentral:lncRNA from 1 species